rnacentral:rRNA from 1 species
AUCUAGAAAAGUGCUUACCUGUGCUGGACCAUGUAAAAGUCUUCUGGAAUGGAGCAUCACAGAGGGUGAGAAUCCCGUCUUUGACAUGGACUCCCGGUGCGCCUAGGUGUGCUCUCAAAGAGUCGAGUUGUUUGGGAAUGCAGCUCAAAAUGGGUGGUAAAUGCCAUCUAAAGCUAAAUAUUGGCGAGAGACCGAUAGCGAACAAGUACCGUGAGGGAAAGAUGAAAAGAACUUUGGAAAGAGAGUUAAACAGUACGUGAAAUUGCUGAAAGGGAAACGCUUGAAGUCAGUCACAUCGGGUGGAAAUCAACCUUGCUUUUGCUUGGUGUACUUUCCUUCUGAUGGGUCAGCAUCAAUUUUGGUUGCUGGAUAAGGUUCUUGGGAAUGUGGCAUCUUUGGAUGUGUUAUAGCCCUUGGACGCAUACAGCAGCUGAGAUUGAGGAACUCAGCAUGCCGCAAGGCUGGGGCUUUUGUCCACAUGACGUGCUUAGGAUGCUGGCAUAAUGGCUUUAAUCGACCCGUCUUGAAACACGGACCAAGGAGUCUAACAUACCUGCGAGUGUUUGGGUGGAAAACCCAUGCGCGUAAUGAAAGUGAUGGUUGAGAUCCCUGUCGUGGGGGAGCAUCGACGCCCACACCGGACCUUUUGUGAUGGAUCUGCGGUAGAGCAUGUAUGUUGGGACCCGAAAGAUGGUGAACUAUGCCUGAAUAGGGUGAAGCCAGAGAAACUCUGGUGGAGGCUCGUAGCGAUUCUGACGUGCA